ACCAAGUCUGGAGGAUGAAUUUGGUUCCUCGUUGUGUUUGGCUCGGACACCAAAUCAAUAUUUGUCGGUAUCGUGAUCAAUGGCUUGUCAAUGCUAUUGUAUCAAGGAAACACCUCAUACAAUG
rnacentral:snoRNA from 2 species